UCCUUCUUCUUCCUCUUCUUCUUCUUCUUAUAUUCCAAUCUGAUCAAGCUCUUUACUGUUUCUGUUGAAUCCCUUUACCAGCUGCUCCUGUAAUGGCCAGGUCUCUGGUUGUGCCUCUAGCAGCUACAGCACCAUCCCAGCAAUCUUCUUUGUUCCCAAAUUUCCCUUUACAUUCCCAUUCCGUUCCAUCCAAAACCCUUUCCUUUGCCCUUCACAACUCUUCUAAUUGUUAUACCCACUAUACUCUAACUUCACUUUAUCGCCGCCUAGCUCCUGUUGCCGCUCUAGACUCCGACGUUCCUCACUCUCUUCACCAGGGAUCAGCGAAUGUGAAACGCGGUAAGACCUUUGAACAAUGGGAUUCGUGGACAGCGAAAUUUGCCGGAGCAGCAAAUAUCCCAUUUUUGUUACUUCAAAUGCCUCAGAUCAUCCUCAACGCAC
rnacentral:misc_RNA from 1 species